rnacentral:rRNA from 1 species
AGCUCCAAUAGCGUAUACUAAAGUUGUUGCGGUUAAAAAGCUCGUAGUUGGAUCUUGGAGCAUGUCGAACGGUCGUGCCUCUGGUAUGAACUGCUCGACGUGUUCUUCUAUUUGGUUGCGCGUGUGUGUUCUCUUAAUUGAGUGCCGCACUCGACCGAAACGUUUACCUUGAAAAAAUUAGAGUGUUCAAAGCAGACCUGUUUGUGUCUGAAUAUUCGUGCAUGGAAUAAUGAAAUAUGAACUCGGUUCUAUUUUGUUGGUUUUCGGAACUCGAGUUAAUGAUUAAGAGGGACGGACGGGGGCAUUAGUACUCUGCCGUUAGAGGUGAAAUUCUUGGAUCGGCGGAAGACUAACAACUGCGAAAGCAUUUGCCAAGAAUGUUUUCUUUAAUCAAGAACGA